AGUCUGGUGCCAGCAGCCGCGGUAAUUCCAGCUCCAAGAGCGUAUAUUCAAUUUGCUGCAGUUAAAAAGCUCGUAGUCGGAUUUCUGGACAUUUGUUUGGGUUGGUUGGCUCACGCUUUCCUUCCCUUUCAUUGUCUUCUCCAUGUUUGUGUUUCAUUCUGCCCUUCACUGGGUGGUUUGUUUACCUUACAUCGUUGACCGUGCUUUAAUUCGCGUGUUCAAAGCAGGCUUUUACGCCUUGAAGAGUAUAGCAUGGGAUCAUGAAAUAGGACCCUCUUUUAUGUUUGUUGACUUUGGAUUGAGGGUAAUGAUAAAUAGGGGUGGUCGGGGGUGUACGGAUUCCGUGGCGAGAGGUGAAAUUCUUGGACCCACGGAGGACGAACUAAAGCGAAAGCAUUCACCAAGGACAUACCCAUUGAUCAAGAACGAAAGAUAGGGGAUCGAAGAUGAUCAGAGACCGUUGUAGUCCUAUCCCUAAACGAUACCGACCGAGGAUCGGAGGGUGUCUAUUUGUGCGACUCCUUCGGGACUCUGUGGGAAACCAUUGAGUCUUUGGGUUCCGGGGGGAGUACGGUCGCAAGGCUGAAACUUAAAGGAAUUGACGGAAGGGCACACCAGGAGUGGAUCCUGCGGCUUAAUUCGACCCAACACGGGAAAACUCACCAGGUCCGACAUAGCAAGGAUUGACAGAUCGAUAGCUCUUUCUUGACUCUAUGAGUGGUGGUGCAUGGCCGUUCUUAGUUGGUGGAGUGAUUUGUCUGGUUGAUUCCGAUAACGGACGAGACCUCAACCUGCUAAAUAGGAAGUUUGAUGGGGGAAAUUUGGGUGAAGGGGUUAUUGUAUUGAGGCUUCGGCUUCUUUCGAUUUCUUUGGAUCCUUUUUCCAUCAUUCUCGCCUUCUUAGAGGGACUGACUGCUCUUUGAAGCAGUAGGAAGCUUGAGGCAAUAACAGGUCUGUGAUGCCCUUGGAUGUUCUGGGCUGCACGCGCGCUACACUGACUGAAGCAGAAAGUUUAUCCUUGGCCAAUAGGUCUGGGUAAUCUCAUUAAUUUCAGUCGUGAUGGGGACAGAGCCUUGCAAUUAUGGCUCUCGAACGAGGAAUUCCUAGUAAGUGCAAUUCAUCAAAUUGCGCUGAUUACGUCCCUGCCCUUUGUACACACCGCCCGUCGCUCCUACCGAUUGAACGAUCCGGUGAAGUAUUGAGAGAUUUGGAGGGCUUGCUCUCUGUUUUCAAACUUUA
rnacentral:rRNA from 1 species